rnacentral:misc_RNA from 1 species
CUGCUUCACCAGCCCAGGCUUC